rnacentral:misc_RNA from 1 species
GAAGAAGCCAAAAAAUUGGAUCACUUUCUGUGUUCUGACUGUUCCUCUGAUGAUGAUGCCAAAAGAUCAUUGAAUGCAUUCCCAGUAUCACCAUCUGUUGAGGCCAAGGUGGAGACAAAGAGAAGGAAGAGAUGACUGAUAAUUGUGAUGUGUGACAGGGAGGUACUUUUCUUGCAAAUUAGCUCCAGUAUCUUCUUGUUGCCCUGUAGUUGAAUUGUACAGUCCUGAGAAGAUGCUAUAUUUGCACAAACGAGAGGCUUUAUUAUUAUUUAUCAUUUGCUAGUGUUUGUACGUGUGAAUGGACUUUGAUGGUCUUUUAUCCCCAGUGAUAUCCUCAAGGGUACUGUUCCAAAAACUGCAGUAUCUUAUUUAUGCGCCCAUGAUGAUAAAAACAAACUAAACAUCUAGAACACCUUGGGUUUA